UGCCUAAUACAUGCAAGUCGAACGAACUCUGGUAUUGAUUGGUGCUUGCAUCAUGAUUUACAUUUGAGUGAGUGGCGAACUGGUGAGUAACACGUGGGAAACCUGCCCAGAAGCGGGGGAUAACACCUGGAAACAGAUGCUAAUACCGCAUAACAACUUGGACCGCAUGGUCCGAGCUUGAAAGAUGGCUUCGGCUAUCACUUUUGGAUGGUCCCGCGGCGUAUUAGCUAGAUGGUGGGGUAACGGCUCACCAUGGCAAUGAUACGUAGCCGACCUGAGAGGGUAAUCGGCCACAUUGGGACUGAGACACGGCCCAAACUCCUACGGGAGGCAGCAGUAGGGAAUCUUCCACAAUGGACGAAAGUCUGAUGGAGCAACGCCGCGUGAGUGAAGAAGGGUUUCGGCUCGUAAAACUCUGUUGUUAAAGAAGAACAUAUCUGAGAGUAACUGUUCAGGUAUUGACGGUAUUUAACCAGAAAGCCACGGCUAACUACGUGCCAGCAGCCGCGGUAAUACGUAGGUGGCAAGCGUUGUCCGGAUUUAUUGGGCGUAAAGCGAGCGCAGGCGGUUUUUUAAGUCUGAUGUGAAAGCCUUCGGCUCAACCGAAGAAGUGCAUCGGAAACUGGGAAACUUGAGUGCAGAAGAGGACAGUGGAACUCCAUGUGUAGCGGUGAAAUGCGUAGAUAUAUGGAAGAACACCAGUGGCGAAGGCGGCUGUCUGGUCUGUAACUGACGCUGAGGCUCGAAAGUAUGGGUAGCAAACAGGAUUAGAUACCCUUGGUA
rnacentral:rRNA from 1 species